rnacentral:rRNA from 1 species
GACGAACGCUGGCGGCGUGCUUAACACAUGCAAGUCGAACGGUAAGGCCCUUCGGGGUACACGAGUGGCGAACGGGUGAGUAACACAUGGGUGAUCUGCCCUGCACUUCGGGAUAAGCCUGGGAAACUGGGUCUAAUACCGGAUAGGACCACUGCCUGCAUGGGUGGUGGUGGAAAGCUUUUGCGGUGUGGGAUGGGCCCGCGGCCUAUCAGCUUGUUGGUGGGGUGAUGGCCUACCAAGGCGACGACGGGUAGCCGGCCUGAGAGGGUGACCGGCCACACUGGGACUUAGAUACGGCCCAGACUCCUACGGGAGGCAGCAGUGGGGAAUAUUGCACAAUGGGCGCAAGCCUGAUGCAGCGACGCCGCGUGAGGGAUGACGGCCUUCGGGUUGUAAACCUCUUUCAGCACCGACGAAGCGCAAGUGAUGGUAGGUGCAGAAGAAGGACCGGCCAACUACGUGCCAGCCGCCGCCGUAA